rnacentral:rRNA from 1 species
AGAGUUUGAUCCUGGCUCAGGACGAACGCUGGCGGCGUGCCUAACACAUGCAAGUCGAACGGAGGUUUUGCUUCGGUAGAACCUUAGUGGCGAACGGGUGAGUAACGCGUAGGCAACCUGCCCUUCAGUCUGGGACAACAUCCCGAAAGGGUUGCUAAUACCGGAUCCGAAGCUUUCAUCGCAUGGUGAGAGUUUGAAAGAUGGCCUCUGCACGCACGCUAUCGCUGAAGGAUGGGCCUGCGUCCGAUUAGCUGGUUGGUGGGGUAACGGCCUACCAAGGCGACGAUCGGUAGCCGGUCUGAGAGGAUGAACGGCCACAUUGGGACUGAGACACGGCCCAGACUCCUACGGGAGGCAGCAGUGGGGAAUCUUCCGCAAUGGGCGCAAGCCUGACGGAGCAACGCCGCGUGAGUGAGGAAGUUUUUCGGAACGUAAAGCUCUGUUGUACCUGACGAACGUGCCUUUUGUGAAGAAUGGGAGGCAAUGACGGUAGGGUACGAGGAAGCCACGGCUAACUACGUGCCAGCAGCCGCGGUAAUAC